UAGGGAAUCUUCCGCAAUGGACGAAAGUCUGACGGAGCAACGCCGCGUGAGUGAAGAAGGAUUUCGGUUCGUAAAACUCUGUUGUUAGGGAAGAAAAAAUGUAUAGUAACUAUAUACAAAAGAGACGGUACCUAACCAGAAAGCCACGGCUAACUACGUGCCAGCAGCCGCGGUAAUACGUAGGUGGCAAGCGUUGUCCGGAUUUAUUGGGCGUAAAGCGAGCGCAGGCGGUUAGAAAAGUCUGAAGUGAAAGGCAGUGGCUCAACCAUUGUAGGCUUUGGAAACUGUUUAACUUGAGUGCAGAAGGGGAGGGGGGAGUUCCAUGUGUAGCGGUGAAAUGCGUAGAUAUAUGGAGGAACACCGGUGGCGAAAGCGGCUCUCUGGUCUGUAACUGACGCUGAGGCUCGAAAGCGUGGGGAGCGAACAGG
rnacentral:rRNA from 1 species